rnacentral:rRNA from 1 species
UACAGAGGUCUCAAGCGUUUGUUCGGAUUCAUUGGGCGUAAAGGGUGCGUAGGCGGCGCGGUAAGUCGGGGUGUGAAAUCUCGGGGCUUAACUCCGAAACUGCAUUCGAUACUGCCGUGCUUGAGGACUGGAGAGGAGACUGGAAUUUACGGUGUAGCGGUGAAAUGCGUAGAUAUCGUAAGGAAGACCAGUGGCGAAGGCGGGUCUCUGGACAGUUCCUGACGCUGAGGCACGAAGGCCAGGGGGAGCAAACGGGG